rnacentral:rRNA from 1 species
GACAGAGGGUGCAAACGUUGCUCGGAAUCACUGGGCGUAAAGGGCGUGUAGGCGGGUAUGUAAGUCGGGCGUGAAAUCCCCGGGCUCAACCUGGGAACUGCAUUUGUGACUGCAAGGCUAGAGUACGGUAGAGGGGGAUGGAAUUCCGCGUGUAGCAGUGAAAUGCGUAGAUAUGCGGAGGAACACCGAUGGCGAAGGCAAUCCCCUGGACCUGUACUGACGCUCAUGCACGAAAGCGUGGGGAGCAAACAGG